AAAACAUGAUUAAAAUGUGUACCUUGUUUCAAUAAUCAAUCUUCUAUGAAAAAAACUCGCUUUUAGACUCACAUACCACAAGGCAAUUUCAGAAAAAGUAAGGUGAAAAAACCCUUAUGGAGAUUAUUCCAACCAAAUACAAAAUAUCUACAUUGAAUUAACAGGCCUAGUUUAACCCAGAUAAUGCUAUUCAGGGUGAAUCUUUGAAGGAUUUAUUAGAUUAAUCCAUCAUACCAAUAAAACAAAAUAAAUUCAUCACAUGAAUGUCCAAGAAAAAAUAUUGAAGAUGAUAAAUGUUGCUUGGUCCAGGAACUGAACCAAUACCAUCAAACCCAAGCAUUCUGUAGGGCCUAGUCAGAUCUAACAACAGUGCCAGACCUUAAAUUUUCAUUUGUACAACUCAUCAAGGUCACUCAAACCGGAAAACAUCUAGGGAAAAGCAACUAUGCGCUUAGAGGUUAUGGAAAAUUUUGACUAGAGAAAAGGAUCCUUGAACUUAGGUUUCUAAAGAAAUCGACAUGUGGAGCCCACUUGUUCAAUCAAGACAAAUAGUAACAUGACCCUAUUAGUCUGAGAGUUAUGUGAAAUAUAACAUGCACAAACUCCAGAUGUCAAAUCCAGCAGCCAUAACCAAUAUUAAACGAUCUAACCUGACCAAGUCUAUCCCCAUUACGUCACAUCCAGAAAACAAACAUGUCAAGAGAUGUCUUUAAAAUCCUAGCUAUAGAAUCCAGAUAAAUGUCGCAGCAUAUAACCUAAUAUAUUGACUCUAAUUUUAUAAUGAUAAAAAAGAGAGCAGUGAAUUAGAUUAUUACAUAAUUUGCAAUUUGAAAGUUAUUCACAUGAUCAAGAUGUCCAGGCAAUAUGUAGAUUGGAGACAAAACCUAACUUAGUACACAGAAAGACACUGCUCUGUGCGCUUCAAAGAAAAAUCUGAACAGGAAAUGUAGAAGUUUCACAGACUAGGCAAACAAUUAUUCAUACAAAAGAAAUCAAGAGAUGCUAGUGAAACAUCAACUUACUCUGGCCAAGUUAAAAGAAGGAAACCUUCAAGUGAUCUCAACAAGCUAAUUUCAUCUGGAAGUCUCCUGAGAUUUAUGCAGCCCUUCAAACUUCCAUCAGUAAGCUUUUGAAGGUUUCCAAUGGACCCGUUAACCUCAACCAAAUCCGGGCAUUCUUCAAGUUUCAGUAUUUCAAGAGCGGUGAGUCCUGAGAAGUCUGGAGUUCUAACUAGACCGUGGCAGUGACUGAGAGUAAGGAUUUUCAACUCUGGAAAACUCUGAUUGAAAUUACAAGAAAAUUAUUAGUAGUUUUCACCAAUUAAUGAGAGAAAGUAAAGAUAUAGAUUGUUAAAGUACCCGGGUUCCAUGCCAAACAUGUCUUAGACUGCUGUUGCAUAGUUCAAGAACAAUAAGAUCCUCGAGAUAAAAUUUUGUUGGUAUAUAAUCCCAAGGGACGUGAUGCCAACACAGCCACACUAAUCCUUUAGGAAAAUUUUCAUACCCCCCUUUAAGCCUCAAACUAUUGAGACGGAUUAGUUUUAGAUUGCCCAUACUUGCAAAAGCAUCAGUGUUUAAGUCCACCGAUCGUUUUGAGGCUAUGUUUACUUGUUCCCAGUCAAGGAUGAAGCUCUUAACAGACCUGGAGCCCUGCUAUGAAACAAUUAUAUUAUAUAUGUGCGUGUGUGCAAAGGAUACAUAAAUCACAAUACGCAUGCAAACUGGUAAUUCAAGCAAAUGAAAAACAUAAGCUUCUUACAGUUUUUUUUCUCAAUAUUUUAAAUGAAUCAUCAUGACGCCAAAUUCGGCUACGCGCUCCAUGAUUUUCAGGUGAUUCUUGACGGACAAUUUCCCUUCCCAUAUCCCUAAGCAAUUGAUGCAUUGCCAGUUUAUUGUCCUUAUCAAUGGAUAUCAGAUCCCUGUCAAUAAGUUCUUCAAUUCCAACAUUCCGAUAGGAAUCACAGCUUUCUACAAGUGUCUCCACGAAGGUUAAUUCUUCUCCAAUGAAGAAACAAGCUAUAUCAAGAAACAAAUUCUUGUCACGAUCAUCUUGAAGAGAGUCAUAACUUACUCGAAGAAUCUCGUGAAUUUUACCACCAUCAAGGGCUUCUGGUUCUCUCAUUGCUCUUUUCCAUGAAUCCCCAGUUCGACCAGACAAAGAAAAGCCAAUUACUUCGAGAGCAAGUGGCAGCCCUCCACAAUAACGCACUAUAGUUUUAGAGUCUUGCAAGUAAUAUUCAGAAGGCUGUGGUUGUCUAAAUGCAUGCCAACUAAAGAGUUGAAGGGAUUCACUUUCAUCAAGAGGCAUAAUUCUAAACUCUUUACAAGGUUGAUCAUGAAAACUUUGCAAGCGACCAUGUCUGGUUGUUAUGAUGAUUUUACUUCCCUUGUAAAGCCAUUUCCCCACUUCAAGAAUUGAUUUGAGUUGGUCAACAUCAUCAACAUCAUCAAGAACAAUAAGUACUUUUUUGAACCGUGUGGCAUAUCUGAUUUGGAUAAUUCCUUCAUCUACGUUGUUUAUCUUCUGGAAUCCCCCCUUUGACAAAUCAGAAAGAAGUUGCAUCUGUAAUUGAACCAAACCAUUAUAUUGCUUUGAUGUUUUUCUGACAUCUUUUAGAAAGCUCCAACAGUCAAAUUGUUCGAAAUUGAGGUUGCAAACAUUCUUGGCAAUUGUUGUCUUACCAACACCACCAAUUCCAUGUAUUACUGCUAUAUUAACAUCUUCAGGCCUGUCUUGUAUCCAGUUGUUAAUGUCUUUCACCUGAGCAUCAACUCCAACUAAAUAAGAGGGCACAUGCAGUAUUGUGCGUUUCAACAUUUCUCUAACCUUUUUGACAAUAUCUUGUAUGAAUCCUGCCUCAGGUCUGCAGAUAGAAAAAAUAAAAAUAAAAUAGAAAACCCAUAUUUAAAAAGAAAUGGUUUGUCACUGCCUCGUUGCUCUUCUUUUUCUCGCCAAUGCCUCAUUUCUUAUCCCAGUUGCCUUACAGUUUUACAUUUCUCUUUCCAUAUUGAAGACAUUAGUAAAACUUCAGAAACCUAGUUGUAGUAAUUUAAGUCCUAAAAGUAAAAGAUCAAUCCCUUUGCUUGAGGGCCUGUACUGGUCCCGUCUCCAUACUUCAAAGUAUUGAAAUGCUUCCUAAACAGGCUGGAAAGUAGAAACAUCUACUUAUCCUAACUCACAAGUUUAUGAAUUCCAUUAGGAAACUAUUAUAUUCAAUUAAUUGUAAUUAAACUCCUCAUUUUUUAGCCAAUUAUUAAUUAACUCAUGGAAUUUGUUAGAUUCAGGGCAUUAUGAAACAUUUCUCUAGUCACCAAAGACUACUCCGAUCAAGACAUUUGCUCAAUGGGAUAUUCACAUUUUCUAUUUUCCCAAUAUAUACUUCAUCAGCUCAGUUUUCUUUCACUUAAGUUAUAGCUCCACAGCAAUGGAGUUUUGGCAACCACUGAUGUGUUGAUUUGAUAGCUACUAAAAGGUUUUUAGCAACCCUGUUCUGCAAUUUCCUUAAUCUGAACUAAUGUAGGAUUAACGAUUUAUAACAAAAGUAGCUAAAUGAUGACCAAGUAACAUUCACUACGUACUAAUCAAUGGAGUUUUCAAUUUUAACAUAAAGUAUAGAAACUAAUUACCUCUUGUGUAGAACCAUUCCUGCCAGAUUAGUGACCUUGCAAAGAGCUGACCUCCAUCCCUCAAUCUUCUCAUCCUUGAAGCGCUUUCCAUCUCCAGAAAACGCUUCUGCCAAAUCACCUGUUUGCUUUUGGACUUCUGAUGGAUCGACGUCAUAAAAUCCAGAAUGAUGCUUCUUAUGUUCCAUAAUCAUUGCAACCUCAUCUAGGCACCAGCUUGAAGAAGCAAAAUCACUCGAGAAGACAAUCAAUGACAUUUUUGACUGUUGUAUUGCCUUUUCAACUUCACAUUCUAUGUCUGCACCUCUCUCAAUUGCAUCGUCAUCUCUAAAUACAUGAAUUCCUGCCCACUUCAAAGCUGUAUACAGAUGGUCGGUGAAAUUCUUGCGGGUGUCCUCUCCCCUAAAGCUUAAAAACACAUGAUAAGGAAAUUCACACAUUGAGGAGCUUGAUUCCUCGUUAUUAACAGCAGCCAUCAAGUUGGUUGGAGGAUAUCUACCAGCAGUAACAAUCAGAAGAUGCCAGCAAUCUGAAAAAACAGCAAGUACUAUUUAAAAUGAUGGGACAAUAAAAAAUACCCAUGUUACUAAAACUCAAUUCCAAAAAGAAAACAUGGAGUUAUUUUGCAAAUACUUUGAUAUUAGUAACAGUCAUCAUGGUGGAUGAAGGAGUAUAUCUACCACCAGUAACAGUCAGAAGAUAUCACUAAUCUGGAAAAAACAACAAGAACUGCAUAAAAUGAUGAGAAAAUAAAAUUAACCCUCUAAUUAAACAGGGUUAUCCUAAUCAAUUUGCAACUAAAUCAAACAUCUUAUGAGUGUCCCACAAAUCCUUUAAUAUUUUAAUUGCUCAUUUAAAGCAUAUCAAUCAUGAAGUAGUUCAACUGACGUUCGUGCUCUAACUUCUAUCUAUUAAACAAGAAAAUACUACCACCAUGCAAAAUAAUAUUCCAUGUCGUGAAAACAAAAGCAAGAGAGAGGAUAUAAAUGCCUACAGGCCUUCGCUUUCUUGUGUUUCUGCUGUGAUUGAGAACCUGCAUUAUGGUACUCACUGUCUGUCUUUGGUUGAUAGAUAGAUCAUAAAAUCAACUGUGUUUAAGUCAACGCAGGGUAGGUGAAGUGUCUUAAACGGCAAUAAUUAUAAAAAUCUUAAUAUUAAAAUAAUUUUACAUUAAUUCCUUAUUUUAAUGUUGAGAUUUCUAAAUUUUCUUGUGUUUGUUUGACAUUAGAAAAGUUGGUCAACGGAAAACACUUUCCAGUUAACAGAAAAUACUUUUCAGUCAAAGAAAAAUUUGGCUUGGUUUCUAGGAAAGUGUUUUUCUUUUUAGCUGUGUUUGUUUUUCAGAAAGUGAUUUCCGGAAAAGUAUUUUCUAAACUUUCUUAUGUUUGUUUGCCUUUAGAAAAGUUGGUCAACGGAAAACACUUUCCAAUCAAAGGAAAAUUUGACUUGGUUUUCAGGAAAGUGUUUUCCUGCAAAAAUUUGGGCGGAAAACACUUUCCGAAAGUUGUGAAAAAUUUAAAAAUAUUAUUAUUAACUGAUUAUAUCAAAUUUGAUCCUCAAACUUUUGAUUGUUAUAUAUAUUUUGUUUUAAAUAUUUAUUUUUCAAUUUCAUUUCUUAAAAUUUAGUUUUUAUAUUAACUUUGGUCCUUAUUUUUAUAAUUGCUAUUUGCAUUUUCCUUAUCAUUUUUUUAUUGAAAUUUUUUAUCUAUUAAAUUUGGUCCUCAUUCUUUUGAUUUUUACUUAUUUUAUUUGAAAUAAUUUAUGAAAUGUUGAUUAUUAUUAUUUUAAUUUCUUCAUCUUUCAUUUUUUUUAAUUUUUUAGAUUUGAUCUCUAUUAUUUUGAUUAUUAUUUAUUUUAUUUGAGAUAAUUUAUGAAAUUAUAUUUUUUUUCAAUUUCAUUCUCAUUCAACUUUUUAAUUUGUAAGAUUUAUUCCUUAUUAUUUUAAUAAACUUGAGAAAAAUAAAAUAUUAAUAAGUUAUUUUUCAACUCAUUUUCCAUGACAUAACCAAACACUGGAAAGUGUUUUCCAACUUAUUUUCCAUUACACUACCAAACAUCAAAAAAUACUUUCUCAGAAUUCACUUUCCAAAAGGAAACUACUUUCCAACAAACAAACGGGGCCUUAAUUACAAUUAGUUGAAUAAUAGAAUGACCCCCCCCCCUCCCACAUGCUAUACAUUUUAUAAUAUGCCUCUUCAAGUUAAGGAUGGAGGAUCAACCUGAAGCUUGUAUCGAAAAACAGUAAAGGACGCAGUAAAAAGCGAUUUGGUGAAGACAUCUGCAAGUUGAUCCUGAGAGGGGAUAAAACGAAUUUAAAUCUCUUUCUUUGUAUCCCGGUCAUGGACAAAGUGAUAAUCUACCUCAACAUGCUUAGUACAAGCAUGAAAAAUAGAAUUCGCUGAGAUAUAGGUGAUGCCAAGGUUAUCACACCAAAUGGUAAGAGCAUAGACGGAGGGAACCUGCAGAUAUGUUAACGAAUAUUGAAGCUAAAUGAUUUCAGCAGUACCGUCUGCUAAGGCUUUAUACUUAGCUUCAGUAGAGGAGCAAGCAACUGUGCGUUGCUUGCCGAAUUUCCAUGAAAUUGGUGUUUGACCAAAGAAGACAAGGUAGUUACCCGUACACUUGCGAUCAUCAAUACCCCCAGCUCAAUGAGCAUCUGUAAAACCAUGUAGAGAAAAGGAGGACCCUUGAGUGAUAAGGAAACCAUAAGAUGUUGUACCUUUAAGGCAGCGUAGAAUACGCUUGACGACGACCCAAUGAGAAUAUGUAGGAGAAUGCAUAAACUGAUAGACUUUGUUAACAAUAAAACAAAUAUCUGGACGGGUGAAGGUAAGAUACUAAAGAGCACCCAUGAUUUGAUGAAAUCGUGUAGGAUCAAAGAAUGAAUUAUUUGGCAAUAUAGUAACUUUUGAAGGAGAGAAUGGAGUAUCAACGAGUUUGCGGGAAGUCAUACCUGUGAAAACCUGAUAAAUUAUAAUCUGAGUAAAAUAAUAAAAUACUGAAUAGAUUAAAUAAAAGAAUUUCAAGUAUAGUAAAUGGAUACAAUAGAGUAAUAGAUAAUAUGUUAUGGUGUAACUGAGUAAAAAGAAGAGUUGAAUGACAAAAAUAGAAUUAAGAAGUAAUAAGGGCCAGUGUGAAAAUAGUUAAAAGCUAGAAUAUAAAUGCUUCAUAUUUUAUCUUUUUUUGUUCUGAAACAAAGAGAGGGGGGGAGGAAUUGUAUGAUUUUUCUAUUCAAAUUCUUGUUGGUUUCACCAAUUAAAGUGAGUAAUUAGGGUGAUUAACUUAGUUAAAUAUCAAGAGGGGGUGAUUUUAAAGUGGUGAGUGCUUUGGAGGAAGAAUUUCAAGCUAGGGUUUGAAGAGGGAGGAGAAGAAAACUUGAUUUUUUUUCUUGCAUUCUUUCCUUGAAUCCUUAGCAAAGUGAGGUAAAUAAUAUGUUCCAAUUGAUUAAUUGCUCUAAUUUUAUGUCCGAUGAAGGAUUAUGCAAAAUUAUGAUUAUGUGAAGUUGUGGGUGUAUGUCAUAAAUUAUGGGAAUAAUACAAAUUAUGAUUUAGUCAUGUUAGAAAGCAUGAUUAUGGUUGGGAAAGUGUUUAAUUUUAAAUAAAAGAAACAAAAAGUUUCCCCUCAUUUUAAUUGAAUUUUCAGCCAAAAGAGGAAUAAUUUAGGGGAUUUGAGGUUUUAAUUCAAUUGUUUGGAAAAUGUGAGAAAAUAUAGGUUUUUAAGUGUUAUUAUAUGAAAGGAGUAAGAAUUUUUCAAAGAGAAGAAAAAUCUUCACUUUCUUCCCUAGGUUAUUUUCGGCUAAAAGGAGAAGAAAAUUAGAAAAUAGAGUUAAUAAUAUUAUUGAGAAAUCUUGCCAAAUUGAAGAUAAUUGAUGUUGAUAGGUUAAAUUGAAUAAUGAUUUUUAUGAAAAAUAAAUAUGUAAUUAGUAUUAGAAAAUGCGGUUGUAUUUUUAUUUUUAAAAAUUUUAAUUUUUUUAUUAAAAAUUAAUUUUUUUAUUUUUUGAAUUGUUUUGAUGCAGUGAUAUGAAAAAUAAUUUUUAAAAAAUAAAAAAAUUAUUUUAAUGCAUUUCGGUGUGAAAAACACUUUAAAAAACAUCUACAACUACACUCCCAAACAGACGUAAAAUUAUGAAGCAAGUUCAUGCAUGGGAUUAUAAAACUAAAUAAAAUUACUCUAGUUUGAUUAAAAUUACAUCUGUUUAUUAAAUUUUAAAGAAUUAUAGUUUACAUGCUAAUAAAUAUAAAAUAGAAUAAACUAUAGAAUGACUUGGAACAUAAACUAAAAUGUAUAUAGUAAAAUUCAGAUUACAAAGUUUAAUUUUUCAAAAUUUAAUAAAUAAGUUUAACUUUGAUUGAACUAUAGAAUAAUAGGGUAAUUUUUUUUAAAAGUAAAUUAAAAAUCAAAAUUAGCUAAGAAAAUUCAAGAUUGUUUAAAGGUUUGAAGCAACGGAUUGAGCAUCCAUGGCAUGCAAAUUAAAUGCAUAAUGGAAAUGAUAUAUUUGUCUAUUGAGAUUGGAAAAAUUAGCACAAUUUACAAGCCAUGUGCCCAAAAGGCAGAUAGAUUUUUGUUAUAUUCUUUUUUUAUAUAUAUCAAUAUUCCAUGAGAGGAAAAAAAGACUCAGCGUGACAGCUUGUUUGUAACACCAUUUUAUUACACGAGUAGAAGAAAGAAUGUAAACUAUGUCAUAAAAAAUCUUGGACAGCUAGGUCUAAUGGUAAAGAAUUAUGCUCUAGUUGUUAAUUUUCUAUAUUGAAACCUUGUGACAAGUAUUUAGAGAAAUUUAUUUGUUUGAACGCGCCACAUCGAUGAAAAAUAGAAAUUAUUUAUUUAUUUAUUUAUUUAUUUACAUCAAUAUAUUAAAAUUCUUAAAAAACAUUUAUAAAAAUUAAUUUGAUGUUUUUUUAAAUAAAAUACAUCCAAAAAUAAAAACCACUACAAAUUCAAAUACUCAUUGAUUGUCCAUUUGAAAAUGUGAGGUAAUUACGGUUCAACUUGUGUUUUCAAAUGAAAUUUUAAAAUAUUUUUAAUAUUAUAAUAUCGAUUAUUUUUUAAAAAAUUAUUUAAAACAAAACUCGAGCCCCAAUUAACAUAGAAAAAAUGUCUCUUACAAGCAAAUAGAAAAGGAACAUCAACUGUCAUCAAAACUUGCGCAGAGAAUGUUUGUGUGAAAUUAUGCCAACGGGAGGUAUUGAAUGCUAUAACCUCCCUUCUGCUGGAUUCUGACAAGGAGAAACUAGGUGGAUGCCAAACUUCUUCACUUGAAAACAAGAAGGCAAAAUUACGGAACAUGCCACGGAAUCACCAGCUUUUAACUUGCAACUAAGCUUCCAAUGGCUUAACCACAACAUAUUCUCAUUGGUUUCAGGAACUCCAAAGAUUUCUGGACUAUACUCCAAGAUUUGACCUUUGGCUUCGAUUCUUAUUUUGGCACUGCUAGAACUUUCAAAAUUACCCCUCGGGUCAGAGCAUGUAUACACAACACAUAUGUUGAAACCACAGAUAUCAAAACUAGAACUUGAAGGUACGCAAUAACUUGCAUGGCAUGUUCCUGUCGCGUGACAGAACCAAUCUGGAAUCUCAUGCACUCGCAGAUAUAUGUUGCUUAUGCCACCAUCUUGAAAUACCUGUUGCAGCAUAGUCAUAAUUCACAAAAUGCACUAGAAUAUGUACACCAAAAGCUUGGUAUAUAUCAGUAUAAAGACUACUAAUGGACAGAAUGAGAGGAACUGCAAAGGGACCUGAACUUAGAGAUUCCUUUCUUGAAUGUCAAAUUUAAAAAAAAUAUGUAAAGCAUUUAAGAAAAUGUCAGUUUAGGACCGUUCCAUGCACAUGUGACAAUGAACAGAUGAAAUAAGAAAAAGGUAAGAGUGGACCUGGAUGGUAGUCUUUCCUUGUGUUGUCAUUGCAACAAAAUUAGUGUUGUCUUGAGUGAUUCUCAUGGAUUCUGAUUUCUGCAAACCAACAUUAUAGAUCAUCUCCAAGUCAAAGUUCAGCAAUUGUUCUAACUUGAACAGGCCUUGAAGCUUAUCUGGUUCUUGGCGACCAAAUAUGAAGAUAUCCAGUGGUCCCAAUAGGGGUCCAAAAUUGCUUGUUUGUAAUAUCCCUAAAUUACUUGGUAGGCUUGGAAGUGAUUGGAGACUUGUGCAUCCUUGUAACAAAAGAGUUUCAAGCCUUGUCAGCCUACUAAGGCUUUCAGGUAGAUGCUGAAAGGUGAAAAAACCCUUACGGAGAUUAUUCCAACCAAAUACAAAAAAUCUACAUUGAAUUAACAGGCCUAGUUUAACCCAGAUAAUGCUCAUUCAAGGUGAAUCUUUAAAGGAUUUAUUAGAUUACUCCAUCAUACUAAUAAAACAAAAUAAAUUCAUCACAUGCCUGUCCAAGAAAAAAUAUUGAAGAUGAUAAAUGUUGCUUGGUCCACGAACUGAACCAAUACCAUCAAACCCAAGCAUUAUGGA
rnacentral:lncRNA from 1 species